GACGGAGGAGGCAAGCGUUAUCCGGAAUUAUUGGGCGUAAAGCGUCCGCAGGUGGUUUUACAAGUCUGCUGUCAAAGCGCGAGGCUCAACCUUGUAUAGGCAGUGGAAACUGUGGAACUAGAGUGCGGUAGGGGUAGAGGGAAUUCCCGGUGUAGCGGUGAAAUGCGUAGAUAUCGGGAAGAACACCAGUGGCGAAAGCGCUCUACUGGGCCUGCACUGACACUGAGGGACGAAAGCUAGGGGAGCGAAAGGG
rnacentral:rRNA from 1 species